GCCCGUCACACCAUGGGAGUGGGUUGCUCCAGAAGUAGCUAGUCUAACCGCAAGGGGGACGGUUACCACGGAGUGAUUCAUGACUGGGGUGAAGUCGUAACAAGGUAGCCGUAGGGGAACCUGCGGCUGGAUCACCUCCUUAAUCGAAGAUCCCGGCUUCUUCAUAAGCUCCCACACGAAUUGCUUGAUUCACUGGUUAGACGAUUGGGUCUGUAGCUCAGUUGGUUAGAGCGCACCCCUGAUAAGGUGAGGUCGGCAGUUCGAAUCUGCCCAGACCCACCAAUUGUUGGUGUGCUGCGUGAUCCGAUACGGGCCAUAGCUCAGCUGGGAGAGCGCCUGCUUUGCACGCAGGAGGUCAGGAGUUCGAUCCUCCUUGGCUCCACCAUCCAAACAAUCGUCGAAAGCUCAGAAAUGAAUGUUCGUGAAUGAACAUUGAUUUCUGGUCUUUGCACCAGAACUGUUCUUUAAAAAUUCGGGUAUGUGAUAGAAGUAAGACUGAAUGAUCUCUUUCACUGGUGAUCAUUCAAGUCAAGGUAAAAUUUGCGAGUUCAAGCGCGAAUUUUCGGCGAAUGUCGUCUUCACAGUAUAACCAGAUUGCUUGGGGUUAUAUGGUCAAGUGAAGAAGCGCAUAUGGUGGAUGCCUUGGCUCAAGGCGA
rnacentral:rRNA from 1 species